GAUGAAUAUAUGUUCCAUCAUUAGCAGGAGAAACAAGAUUCUUGCAUUCUAGGUCUUUCCAUUCUCUCAAGAAAUUGAAGGCCAUUGCCCAUUCAUUCCAAAUUUUCCAAACAAGCAGCGGACCAGAAACAUUUGGAAAUGAAAGAAGACCCAAAGAACUUAUGGAAAAGCAUCUGGGGAUACCCUUUCACUGACUGUAGAACCAAAUUGUGGCCCACCCUUGCGAUAUGAGAUAAGAAACUCAACAGGGUAUCCCUUCAACUUAUGUGGCACAAUCCCAAGAUCAUGAAAUGUUAAAGCAUUGUCUGACACCACUAUAUCCUUAGUAAGUGCACUGAUCUCAU
rnacentral:misc_RNA from 1 species